rnacentral:rRNA from 1 species
CGAGUGAAGCGGUAACAGCUCAAAUUUGAAAUCUGGCUCCUACGGAGUCCGAGUUGUAAUUUGUAGAAGAUGCUUUGGGAGGUAGGGCCGGCCUAAGUUCCUUGGAACAGGACAUCAGAGAGGGUGAGAAUCCCGUAUGUGGCCGUGGCCUACGCCCGUGUAAAGCUCUUUCGACGAGUCGAGUUGUUUGGGAAUGCAGCUCAAAAUGGGUGGUAAAUUUCAUCUAAAGCUAAAUAUUGGCCAGAGACCGAUAGCGCACAAGUAGAGUGAUCGAAAGAUGAAAAGCACUUUGGAAAGAGAGUUAAACAGUACGUGAAAUUGUUGAAAGGGAAGCGCUUGCAACCAGACUUGGGUGUCGUGGAUCAUCCGAGGUUCUCCUCGGUGCACUCGACGACGCGCAGGCCAGCAUCGGUUUGGGUGGUUGGAGAAAGGCUCUAGGAACGUAGCUCUCUUCGGGGAGUGUUAUAGCCUAGGGCGCAAUGCAGCCCAUCCGGACCGAGGACCGCGCCUUCGGGCUAGGAUGCUGGCGUAAUGGUUGUAAGCGACCCGUCUUGAAACACGGACCAAGGAGUCUAACAUCUAUGCGAGUGUUUGGGCGUUAAACCCAUACGCGGAAUGAAAGUGAACGUAGGUGAGAACCCGUUAGGGUGCAUCAUCGACCGAUCCUGAUGUCUUCGGAUGGAUUUGAGUAAGAGCA